GGUUUAGACCUGGUUCAGUCCUGGUUUAGACCUGGUUUAGUCCUGGUUUAGUCCUGGUUUAGACCUGGUUUAGUCCUGGUUUAGUCCUGGUUUAGUCCUGGUUUAGUCCUGGUUUAGUCCUGGUUUAGACCUGGUUUAGACCUGGUUCAGUCCUGGUUUAGUCCUGGUUUAGUCCAGGUUUAGUCCUGGUUCAGUCCAGGUUUAGUCCUGGUUCAGUCCAGGUUUAGUCCUGGUUCAGUCCUGGUUUAGUCCUGGUUUAGUCCUGGUUUAGUCCAGGUUUAGUCCUGGUUCAGUCCUGGUUUAGUCCUGGUUUAGUCCUGGUUUAGUCCAGGUUUAGUCCAGGUUUAGUCCUGGUUCAGUCCUGGUUUAGUCCUGGUUUAGUCCUGGUUCAGUCCUGGUUUAGUCCUGGUUUAGUCCUGGUUUAGUCCAGGUUCAGUCCUGGUUCAGUCCUGGUUUAGUCCUGGUUCAGUCCAGGUUUAGUCCUGGUUUAGUCCUGGUUUAGUC
ensembl:lncRNA